CUCCGAUCUUCAUUGCUAAAGGGACCCCCAUCAUGUGCCUGUGGCAGAUCAGGACACCUCCUUUGGUGCCUGAUAUUGUUAUGCACCGCAGACAUCCGUCCAGAAGCUGUGGUACAGGUGGCCAGGACGUGCCCAGUUCCAGCCCAAGUGUUGACCAAGGAUAGAAAUACAGCCUGUAUCUCGCCCUGGAGAGCAGACCUUCCCCUCCUGGUACCCCGAAACAUCUGUAUUUCUCCCCAUGAGUCUUUGAGCCUUCAGGAUCACUGGAAGGAAUGCAAUGCCAUCAAUGCUACUGUCAGAUCUCAUGCAGCACUCGGGGAUGGUCUGCAUGGCACUGAUGGAGCAUAGGAUGGACCUGCAGCUCACGGCCAUGUGCCUCCAGUGACACCGUCGAGCUCUGGCCCAUAACAGAAUAUCACCGUUCGCUGGCCGUCACUCGUCUUGAGUCGUACCAGCACGCAUCACGAUGCAUCGGAUCUCUGCCAUAGAAAAGCUCACCCUGCAGUCAACUCGACAUUGGCUCACGCCGUGAAGGCAGUUCACCUGUGCUGCUGGGAGGGGUGGAGCCUCUCCAGGAUCCCACUGAAGUGCUGACUGCCCCUGGGGAAGGAUCUCUUGCUGGAGAUUACUGUCAUGUUGAAUAUUGCGAGCCUACGACAUCAGCUCACGAGCAGGUUAUGGAGAACCACAGAGCUGCAGCCAGGAAAUUGCUGAUGAAGGAAUCCCAGCAAGCACAGGGUGAAAGAGUGGCUGCCAGGAAAUAGGAGCUGGAGCAGAUAGGGUGAAGCAGGGGCGCGUCCUCAGAGCUCGGUGUCCUCACAGCUCUGGCUGUGAGGAGGACCUCAGUCCUGGUCCCUCGGGUCCAUGGGUCCCAGCACAGCCAUCCCACAUGGUGCAGCCAUUGUCUUGCUGUAGAAGCAGCUCAUUGCCCAGCUGGAAAAGCAGCUGCAGACUGAGACCAAGGAGAUCAAGGUGCUGCGCCAGGAGAAACAACGCCUGCAAGAGGAGCUGGAGGUGGAGAAUGCCUGCAGCAUCAGAUGGAGCUGGAGGCAGCCCACGUGCCUGGAGCUGUGCUGCUGGAGCUGGUGGAGGCACAGCUGGACCUGAACAGGAUGUACCAGGACACGUUUCAGAUGAACCAGCUACUGAACUCUAUUUGGUGCAGUCCAUCCAGACAGACCACCCUGCCCACCCCUGGGAUACCAGCGGGGCUCCGGCAUGGGAAGCAGCUGCAGGUUUGGCAUGGCUCUCUCUGGAGGCACUUCUGCAAGCAAAGAACCAUGAAAGCUUUCCAUCAUCUGUGUCACGCGUAACGGCACAGUGCCAUCUGAGGAGCAGAUGGUACCAGAGGAUGGUGCAGGGACAGGGCACGCACGUGCAGCUCUGUGCUCUCACUCCUGCAGGCGUGCCUGGCUGACAUUAGGGCUGUGAGCUGGCAGCUCACAAAGGAAGUAAAAAGCCAUGACAUACUCAUACCAUCUGCUAGAGCUUCCAUCCGGGGAGCCAGCUGGGAUUCUGCAUCCCAUUCAUCUCCACUCACAUCUGUAAACAAACAGGACAGAGCAGCUCAUAUCAAACACGUCCAUAUCCACAUCCAGAUGGAAACAAGGAGGGAUCGCUCCACAGCACUCUUCUCUCCCUUCCACACAGCAGCAUCUCAGCCAUACAUGCCAGGUGCCUGCAGUGGCACUGUGCUGAUACACAACAAUCCAUGUGUGGAACUGUCUGGAGACGGGGAGGGGAAGAGAACUGAAAGGGGACAAAGAGGGGAGGAAAAUAGAACGGUAGGGGGAGCCCCAAAGGCUCUGUCCUGGCAGUGUUCCUGAGGUUCCACCUCAGGAACAAAAGCUGUGUCUGACCAGAACACUGGAUAGAAAGGACCAGUGUAGUCAUCUAGAAUCACAAUCAGAUAAGAGAAGUUCCCAUUAAAUCUGUGAUCUCUUUUUCCAUCAAAGACCAGAGCUGGGUCAGGUAAUGAGAUGGGAUAAACAUCCAGGUUGUCAGUUCCACAGCUACAGUGGAACAGGGAGACCCACCGGCUGGCCACAGGCAGGUUGCAAAACACUCUGCAGGCCACGUGCAGUACCAUCAUGGACCGCACAGACCAACAUUUGGGCACUCAGGCCUUACUUACCACUGCAGAUCAGUGGUGGACACAAAGGGAGGUGACACUAAAGCAUGAGAGGAAAAUAUGUAGCCAGAACUUUGCUCUCCUGAAGUUCAGAGUCCUGGUCCACUUUUUGCCAGAUCUGCAUUCUUCAAGAUCACAAACUCCAUCAAGGCAUUCAUUACAGCCCAGGCUGCCUCCAGUCUUAACCUCUCUAACGCUCUCCUCUGCACUGGUGAGCACCAAGUCCAGUAAGGCUUCACACCAGGUCGGUCCAUCUGUUACUGGACCAGCAGGUCGGCUUUGGCAGACCCCAGCAAUCUCCUCUACUGUCUGCCCCCUGCUGUGCUGCUCUCCUAGCAGGUAUCCAGGCAGUUGAAAUCCCCCAUCAGGACAAGAGCCUGCGAGCGUGACACCUCUUGCAGCUGAAGCAAGAAGGGCUCGUCAACAGCUUCCUCCUGAUCGGGUGGGCUGCAGCAGACUCCGACCACCGGGUGCUCUUUGCUGGGCCGGUCCUUGAUUUUUACCCACAGCUCUUGACCCAAUCACAGCCAUUCCUCAGACACAGCUCCUCGCAGUCCAUCCGCUCCUAGCACAGGGCAGCUCCCUUGCCAUAGCUGCCUCCCCUCCCCUCCCCUUUCCACUCCCCUCCCCUCCCCUUUCCACUCCUCUCCCUUCCUUUCCCCUCCCCUCCCCUCCCCUGCGUCCUUUGGGCUCAUGAAAGCUAUUUUCAUCCCGGUGUAGAUGUGGGUGUAUUCUCCUGCAGUCCUGCGCUGCCUGUGGGAUGCAGAGUAUCAAAGAAGAAAGCACCAGUAGCUUGUCAGUCUGUGAUUUAUGUUGGCUGUACCAUCCCCGGGGAUACCGAAGCUUGGGGAUGACCUCAGCUGCACAUCAGUACAGAUAUUAAACAUGAUGGGCCCCAAUCCCGACCCCUGAGGAAUGUGAGAGGCGCUCAACUCCAAUGACUUCUGAUCAGGAAAUUAUCUCAGUGAAGCAGCAAAGUUUUUAUUCAUUACUGCAACAGUGGGUGGGCAGCCCCCUUAUGGCAGGGAGACAUUGGGCGCACGAUCAGUUGAACACUUCUCGUUAUAUAUGAACACUAUAUUAUAUAUCUUUCUCCCAUCACAGGUUUUUACUGUUUCCUACUGGCCAAGUACUCCAGGCGUACAAUCCAUGCAACACAGUUAAUAAUUCAUCUUUCCAUAUGAGAGGUACCACCAACCUCACGUUUUCAGGAUGCAUACAGGAGGGCAAUAUUUCUUGAAGCUGUUACGCCUGUUUCAUCCUAUGCCAAGCCUUCCUUACCCUGCUCCUUAUUUUUCCUUCCCUUACUACUUAGAAAGGACAAAUAGUGUAUUAGUAGGCAGAAACCAGCAGACUAGGAGACACUGAAAGUUAAAUUCUAUUUUAACGUCCUGGAGACAAAAAGAAAAAGCCCAGUACGUGUCAGGAUCAAACCACUGUUCUCCAUUUUAUACACAGCCAAAAUGCAGAACAUUUUAUGGUGUGUUCCAAGACACCAAACGUGCUCUUUAACAAGCCUUUAACUCUGACAUUAGCAGCUCAUAAGAUUAAAAUGGAACUAUGAAACAUU